rnacentral:rRNA from 1 species
UACGUAGGGUGCGAGCGUUGUCCGGAAUUCUUGGGCGUAAAGAGCUCGUAGGCGGUGUGUCACGUCGGCCGUGAAAACCUGCAGCUUAACUGUGGGCGUGCGGUCGAUACGGGCAUCACUGGAGUUCGGCAGGGGAGACUGGAAUUCCUGGUGUAGCGGUGAAAUGCGCAGAUAUCAGGAGGAACACCGGUGGCGAAGGCGGGUCUGUGGACCGCCACUGACGCUGAGACACGAAAGCGUGGGUAGCAAACAGG